UACGUAGGGGGCAAGCGUUGUCCGGAUUUAUUGGGCGUAAAGAGCUCGUAGGCGGCUAUUCACGUCGGAUGUGAAAGCUCAAGGCUCAACCUUGAGAGGCCAUUCGAUACGGGAUAGCUAGAGGUAGGUAGGGGAGAUCGGAAUUCCUGGUGUAGCGGUGAAAUGCGCAGAUAUCCGGAGGAACCCAGAGGCGAAGGCGGCGUCCUGGCUCGCAUCUGACGCUCAGACACGACAGCAUGGGGAGCGAACGGG
rnacentral:rRNA from 1 species